AUGUGCUGCCCAAAGGGAGUGUAAUCUGAGAAUCCAAUUGCAGGUGGAUGUCUAUUCCUUGGAAAAGUUGAGAGUGUGACCUUACAUAGGCAAAAGUAGGAUCCUCUUGACUCAGCUUCUAAUUGUAUUAUUUCCUUUCUAAACAGGAAUUUUUUUCCACCUGGUUAAUUCUGAGCCUGGAUUUUGAUGCCCUGUGAAUAAUGUGGAACUUUGCUUUCUGAUUAAAUAUAAUUCUUGUGUGGAAUCAAACAGAUCUUAGAGAGUUUUCCCUGUGUUUGGGCAUCCUGACCUUCUCAACAGCUGCCUUAAUUCUGGACCUGGACACUGGAGGAAAUAAUUUUGUCUGCCCACUGCUCUUAAUCAGGGAGUCUUGGUCAACAGGAAGGACCAGACUGUGGCAAAUUUAUGAGGGUCAGAUUGAAAAGACUAAAGUUUGUCUUGUAAACUUGCUCUCUGAAGUACUCUUAACAGAAAAUAGAAGGGGGAACAGAA
rnacentral:lncRNA from 1 species